GGUGACAGCCCCGUACACAAAAAUGCACAUAUUGUGAGCUUGAUGAGUAGGGCGGGACACGUGGUAUCCUGUCUGAAUAUGGGGGGACCAUCCUCCAAGGCUAAAUACUCCUGACUGACCGAUAGUGAACCAGUACCGUGAGGGAAAGGCGAAAAGAACCCCGGCGAGGGGAGUGAAAAAGAACCUGAAACCGUGUACGUACAAGCAGUGGGAGCACGCUUAGGCGUGUGACUGCGUACCUUUUGUAUAAUGGGUCAGCGACUUAUAUUCUGUAGCAAGGUUAACCGAAUAGGGGAGCCGAAGGGAAACCGAGUCUUAACUGGGCGUUAAGUUGCAGGGUAUAGACCCGAAACCCGGUGAUCUAGCCAUGGGCAGGUUGAAGGUUGGGUAACACUAACUGGAGGACCGAACCGACUAAUGUUGAAAAAUUAGCGGAUGACUUGUGGCUGGGGGUGAAAGGCCAAUCAAACCGGGAGAUAGCUGGUUCUCCCCGAAAGCUAUUUAGGUAGCGCCUCGUGAAUUCAUCUCCGGGGGUAGAGCACUGUUUCGGCA
rnacentral:rRNA from 1 species